rnacentral:rRNA from 1 species
UUUGUUGCCAGCAAGUAAUGGUGGGAAAUUAAAGGAGAAUGCCGUUGAUCAAGCGGAGGAAGGUGGGGAAGAAGUCAAGUCCUCAUGGCCCUUAAGGUCAGGGGUACACACGUGGUACAAUGGGGUAUACAAAGGGAUGGGAAGGUGGGAA